GACGAACGCUGGCGGCGUGCUUAACACAUGCAAGUCGAACGAAGUGGCGAACGGGUGAGUAACGCGUAAUCAACCUGCACCUCAGCGGGGGACAACAGUUGGAACCGACUGCUAAUACCGAAUACUGAAGGAGGUGAUUGCGUCUGAUUCGCUAGUUGGAGGGGUAACGGCCCACAAAGGCGAUGAUCGGUAGGCGGUCGUAGUGGGUGAACGGGCACAUUGGGACUGGGACACGGCCCCAACUUCUACGGGGGGCAGCAGUGGGGGAUCUUCCGAAAAGGACGGAAGGCUGGCGGGGGAACGGCGCGGGAGUGAUGACGGCCUUCGGGUUGUAAAGCUCUGUUAAUCGGGGCGCGGUACCGGAAUAGAAAGCCACGGCUAACUACGUGCCAGCAGCCGCGGUAAUUC
rnacentral:rRNA from 1 species